UACGGAGGGUGCAAGCGUUGUUCGGAUUUACUGGGCGUAAAGCGCGCGCAGGUGGAUGAACAAGUCGGAAGUGAAAUCUUGAGGCUCAACCUCGAGGCUGCUCCCGAAACUGUUCGUCUAGGGACUGGUAGUGGCUGGUAGAAUUCCCGGUGUAGCGGUGGAAUGCGUAGAGAUCGGGAAGAAUGACCCGUGCGAAGGGCGG
rnacentral:rRNA from 1 species